GGCUCAGAUUGAACGCUGGCGGCAGGCCUAACACAUGCAAGUCGAGCGGUAGAGAGAAGCUUGCUUCUCUUGAGAGCGGCGGACGGGUGAGUAAUGCCUAGGGAAUCUGCCUGGUAGUGGGGGAUAACGUCCGGAAACGGACGCUAAUACCGCAUACGUCCUACGGGAGAAAGCAGGGGACCUUCGGGCCUUGCGCUAUCAGAUGAGCCUAGGUCGGAUUAGCUAGUUGGUGAGGUAAUGGCUCACCAAGGCGACGAUCCGUAACUGGUCUGAGAGGAUGAUCAGUCACACUGGAACUGAGACACGGUCCAGACUCCUACGGGAGGCAGCAGUGGGGAAUAUUGGACAAUGGGCGAAAGCCUGAUCCAGCCAUGCCGCGUGUGUGAAGAAGGUCUUCGGAUUGUAAAGCACUUUAAGUUGGGAGGAAGGGUACUUACCUAAUACGUGAGUAUUUUGACGUUACCGACAGAAUAAGCACCGGCUAACUCUGUGCCAGCAGCCGCGGUAAUACAGAGGGUGCAAGCGUUAAUCGGAAUUACUGGGCGUAAAGCGCGCGUAGGUGGUUCGUUAAGUUGGAUGUGAAAUCCCCGGGCUCAACCUGGGAACUGCAUCCAAAACUGGCGAGCUAGAGUAUGGUAGAGGGUGGUGGAAUUUCCUGUGUAGCGGUGAAAUGCGUAGAUAUAGGAAGGAACACCAGUGGCGAAGGCGACCACCUGGACUGAUACUGACACUGAGGUGCGAAAGCGUGGGGAGCAAGCAGGAUUAGAUACCCUGGUAGUCCACGCCGUAAACGUUGUCUUCUAGCCGUUGGGAGCCUUGAGCUCUUAGUGGCGCAGCUAACGCAUUA
rnacentral:rRNA from 1 species